rnacentral:tRNA from 1 species
GGGCGAGUGGCGGAAUGGCAGACGCGCUGGCUUCAGGUGCCAGUGUCCGCAAGGACGUGGGGGUUCAAGUCCCCCCUCGCCCACCA